AGGGUUUGAUCAUGGCUCAGAACGUACGCUGGCGGCACGCCUAACACAUGCAAGUCGAACGAAGUAGCAAUACUUAGUGGCAGACGGGUGAGUAACAUGUAGGUAUCUACCCUUUGGCCUGGAAUAACACGAGGAAACUUGUGCUAAUACUGGAUAAGUCUUUACGGAGAAAGCUUUAUGCACCAUUGGAUGAGCCUGCACUUGAUUAGUUUGUUGGUGGGGUAAUGGCCUACCAAGACUGUGAUCAAUAGCUGAUUUGAGAGGAUGAUCAGCCACAUUGGGACUGAGACACGGCCCAAACUCCUACGGGAGGCAGCAGUGGGGAAUCUUGCACAAUGGAGGAAACUCUGAUGCAGCGAUGCCGCGUGAGUGAAGAAGGCCUUUGGGUUGUAAAGCUCUUUCGUCGGGGAAGAAAAUGACUGUACCCGAAUAAGAAGGUCCGGCUAACUUCGUGCCAGCAGCCGCGGUAAUACGAAGGGACCUAGCGUAGUUCGGAAUUACUGGGCUUAAAGAGUUCGUAGGUGGUUGAAAAAGUUGGUGGUGAAAUCCCAGAGCUUAACUCUGGAACUGCCAUCAAAACUUUUCAGCUAGAGUUUGAUAGAGGAAAGCAGAAUUUCUAGUGUAGAGGUGAAAUUCGUAGAUAUUAGAAAGAAUACCAAUUGCGAAGGCAGCUUUCUGGAUCAUUACUGACGCUGAGGAACGAAAGCAUGGGUAGCGAAGAGGAUUAGAUACCCUCGUAGUCCAUGCCGUAAACGAUGUGUGUUAGACGUUGGA
rnacentral:rRNA from 1 species